rnacentral:rRNA from 1 species
AGAAUUGAUCUGGUUCAGGACGAACGCUGGCGGCGUGCUUCAUACAUGCAAGUCGAACGAGAAGCUUACUUCGGUAAGUGGAAAGUGGCGGACGGGUGAGUAAUGUGUAGAGAAUCUGCCCUUUAGUGGGGGACAACAGUUGGAAACGACUGCUAAUACCCCAUAUGCGCGUAGCUGAGAUGCUAUUCGUGAAAACUCCGGUGCUAAAGGAUGAGUCUGCAUCUGAUUAGCUAGUUGGCGGUGUAAUGGACCACCAAGGCGACGAUCAGUAGCUGGUUUGAGAGGAUGAUCAGCCACAAUGGGACUGAGACACGGCCCAUACUCCUACGGGAGGCAGCAGUAGGGAAUUUUGCGCAAUGGGGGAAACCCUGACGCCAGCAACGCCGCGUGAUUGAAUAAGCCCUUCGGGGUGUAAAGAUCUGUCAGUAGGGACGAAACUUGACGGUACCUACAGAGGAAGCAUCGGCUAACUCCGUGCCAGCAGCCGC